rnacentral:tRNA from 1 species
GUUAUAAUAAUUUAAAAAAAAAUAAUGGUUUUGUAAACCAAAUUUGAAUAUACUCUUAUAAUA